GUGGGGAAUCUUGCGCAAUGGGCGAAAGCCUGACGCAGCCAUGCCGCGUGAAUGAUGAAGGUCUUAGGAUUGUAAAAUUCUUUCACCGGGGACGAUAAUGACGGUACCCGGAGAAGAAGCCCCGGCUAACUUCGUGCCAGCAGCCGCGGUAAUACGAAGGGGGCUAGCGUUGCUCGGAAUUACUGGGCGUAAAGGGCGCGUAGGCGGACAGUUUAGUCAGAGGUGAAAGCCCAGGGCUCAACCUUGGAAUUGCCUUUGAUACUGGCUGUCUUGAGUACGGGAGAGGUGAGUGGAACUCCGAGUGUAGAGGUGAAAUUCGUAGAUAUUCGGAAGAACACCAGUGGCGAAGGCGUCUCACUGGCCCGUUACUGACGCUGAGGCGCGAAAGCGUGGGGAGCAAACAGGAUUAGAUACCCGAGUAGUCC
rnacentral:rRNA from 1 species